GAUGAACGCUGGCGGCGUGCCUAAUACAUGCAAGUAGAACGCUGAAGCUUGGUGCUUGCACCGAGCGGAUGAGUUGCGAACGGGUGAGUAACGCGUAGGUAACCUGCCUCUUAGCGGGGGAUAACUAUUGGAAACGAUAGCUAAUACCGCAUAAAAGACGAUAUCGCAUGAUAUUGAUUUGAAAGGUGCAAAUGCAUCACUAAGAGAUGGACCUGCGUUGUAUUAGCUAGUUGGUGAGGUAACGGCUCACCAAGGCAACGAUACAUAGCCGACCUGAGAGGGUGAUCGGCCACACUGGGACUGAGACACGGCCCAGACUCCUACGGGAGGCAGCAGUAGGGAAUCUUCGGCAAUGGGGGCAACCCUGACCGAGCAACGCCGCGUGAGUGAAGAAGGUUUUCGGAUCGUAAAGCUCUGUUGUAAGAGAAGAACGAGUGUGAGAGUGGAAAGUUCACACUGUGACGGUAACUUACCAGAAAGGGACGGCUAACUACGUGCCAGCAGCCGCGGUAAUACGUAGGUCCCGAGCGUUAUCCGGAUUUAUUGGGCGUAAAGCGAGCGCAGGCGGUUAGAUAAGUCUGAAGUUAGAGGCUGUGGCUUAACCAUAGUACGCUUUGGAAACUGUUUAACUUGAGUGCAGAAGGGGAGAGUGGAAUUCCAUGUGUAGCGGUGAAAUGCGUAGAUAUAUGGAGGAACACCGGUGGCGAAAGCGGCUCUCUGGUCUGUAACUGACGCUGAGGCUCGAAAGCGUGGGGAGCAAACAGG
rnacentral:rRNA from 1 species